rnacentral:rRNA from 1 species
GACGAACGCUGGCGGCGUGCCUAAUACAUGCAAGUCGAACGCAGUGGGGACGGGUGAGUAACACGUGGGUAACCUCCCAUCAGAGGGGAUAACACUUGGAAACAGGUGCAAAACCGAUACUGCUGGAUGGACCGGCGUUGCAUUAGCGAGUUGGUGGGGUAACGGCUCACCAAGGCCACGAUGCAUAGCUGGACUGAGAGGGGGAUCGGCCACACGGGGACUGAGACACGGCCCAGACGCCUACGGGAGGCAGAAGUAGGGAAUCGUUGGCAAUGGACGAAAGUAUGACCGAGCAACGCCGCGUGAGUGAAGAAGGUUGUCGGAUCGUAAAACUCUGUUGUUAGGGAAGCGGUAUCUAACCAGAAAGCCACGGCUAACUACGUGCCAGCAGCCGCGGUAAUUC